rnacentral:rRNA from 1 species
GAACAGACCGGGACAUCCUGAGUAAGUGGCGACCGGUGUGAGUAACACGUGACUAACCUACCUUCUUGUAGGGGGAUAACCUCGGUGAAACCGGAGCUAAUACCGCAUAACAUCUCUGGGAUGAAAAGCCGGAUAUCAAAUGAGCAAUUCGCAUGAAGAGGGGGUCGCGGCUGAUUAGCUAGUUGGUGAGGUAACGGCUCACCAAUGCGAUGAUCGGUAUCCGGCCUGAGAUGGCGCACGGCCACACUGGAACUGAAACACGGUCCAGACUCCUACGGGAGGCAGCAGUGGGGAAUUUUGCGCAAUGGGGGAAACCCUGACGCAUCAUCGCCGCGUGGAGGAUGAUGUCCCUUGGGACGUAAACUCCUUUCGACCCGGACGAUAAUGACGGUACUGGUGGAAUAACCCCGGCUAACUUCGUGCCAUCAGCCGCGGUAAU